UGCAAAAGUUUUGCUUUAGUAGUUCUGGUAUCUUGUUAAUCACAGCUGAUUCUUCAGCCCCGGAUAACCAAAACCACAGAAUCUUCACAAUCAAAACAUGGCCCUGAUAAGCAUCUUUUAUCUUCCCUCUGAAAUUUUGAAAGCCAGACCUCCACCUUCAGCACUGUUCUCAACAUUAUCUUCCAAGCUCCUACAGAACAUCCCACAGAGCUCUUAACAUCCCAAUGGCUCUUCUGGCUCAAAGUUCCAAAGUCUUUCCACAGUCCCCCCCAAAACAUGGUCAGGUUGUCACAGGAAUACCCCACUUCAGGUACCAACUUCUGUAUUAGUCGGGGUUCUCAAGAGUCACAGAACUUAUGGGUAGUCUCUAUAUAGUAAGUGAAUUUGUUGAUGACUUACAGUCUGUUGUCCAAUUCCCCAACAAUGGUCAGCAGCAGCUGUGAAUAGAAGUCCAAGGGUCUAGCAGUUGCUCAGUCCCACCAGGCAAGUAGGCGGAGAGUCAAUCUUCCACAGUCCUUAUGUAGGCCUCCAGCAGUAGGUGUGACCCAGAUUAAAGGUGUAUGCCACCAAUCCUGGAUCUGGGACUUGCUUUGUCUUCUGGGAUUCAUAGCCACUAUGCCUCAAGAUCUCCAUGCUAAGAUCCAGGUCAUAAACUUGUAUCUCCCAGCCUCCAGAUUAGGAUCGCAGGUGAGCCUUCCAAUUCUGGAUUGUAGUUCAUUCCAGAUAUAGUCAAGUUGACAACCAGAAAGAGCCACUACAGGUCCUUAUCCCCUAAGGAAAUAGAAGUCAUUAAAAACCUCCCAACCAAAAAAAGCCCAGGGCCAGAUGGCUUCAGCACAGAAUUUUUUACUACCAGACCUGCUGUAGGAAGACCAGCAGUCUCAACUACCCUGGACCCCUAAGAUCUUUCAGACACUGAGACACCAACCAGGCAGUAUAUACUAGCUAGUCUGAGGCCCCCAUGCAUGUAUAGCAGAGGACUGCCUGGUCUGGCCUCAGUGGGAGAGGAGGUCCCUAACCCUGGAGAGACUUGAGGCCCUGGGGAGUGGGGAGGUGUUGCAGGGGUCAGGUAGGGGGUGGGGAACAUUUUCUUGGAGAUGAGGAGGGGGAACUGGAUGAGGAACAGUGGGAUGGUGGACCAGGAAGGAGUCCAUGACUGGACUGUAAAAAAUAAAACAAAUAGUAAUUUUUUAAAAAGCAAAUAAUAGCAGCUAUAUUUUUUAAAUUACUGAGGUAAAGUCUCAUGUACCCCAAGGCUGGACUCAAGACUCCAUGUGUGCUAAGGAUGACUUGAUCUCCUGAUCCUUCUACUUCCUGAUUGCUACCAUAACACAGAGCACAUUUAUAACUUUACUAUUGUUACCAGAUGGAAAUAUGUUACAGAGAGUCUUGAUAUUAUUAAAACAGGUCCUCAUAAAGUGUGGAUGCUUUUAGCAUUUCAGUUUUGCAGAUUUGGAGUAUGUGGAUGACUGGGUAAUAUGGGGUAAGGCACUCGGGUAAUAGAUGUUGAGUGUUAUUUCAGUGUAUCUGUUUAUCUGUUUACUAAUGAAUGACGAAUCUCAUACAGCUCAGGCUGACUUGCAACUAACUGUGUACCUGAAGCUGACUUUGAACUUCUGCUCCUUUUGCCUCUACCUCCCAAGUGUUGGGGUUACAAAUGUGUACCACCCAUGCCCAAAUUCAAUGUAUUCUUCUUUAAAAUAAUCUCUGUUCACGUAGUAUGUGUGUAUAUAUGUAUGUAUGUAUAUAUUACAUCUUAAAGUCCUUGAUGUCUUCUGUGUUUUGCUUGUAUAGUAGAACAAAAUAAUCUCUAAUUUUUGUAGCUUCACUAAAGGCAUAUGACUUUUACCACAAAAGUUGAGGAAAAGAAUGACUGGCUUUGCUUGCAGUUAAACUAGAAUGGAGUAUAAAGGAGCUCAGUGCUCCAGAUCUCACCUCUGCCACUUAGUCACUGUGAGUGUUUACAUUCACUAUUGCUUAAUAGGAAGAGCUGAGAGUUCGUACAUUGAGAAUACUUGUGAAUCCCUGAGGUGCUACAGGAAUCUAAUUACAAUGCCUUCUUAAUAUAGUUUUGAAGUAUUUUCCUUUUUGUAUCCCCCCCCCC
rnacentral:lncRNA from 1 species